CUACAGUCUGUGCUUCAAUAAGAAAAUGGGCAAAGAAAAACGUUUCCUUUAAGUAUUGUAUGUCUCGCUUGAUCAGUCAGGAGUUUACACUGUGGACAGAUAUACCUAUCUGUACUCAGAGGAUGCAAACUCAGGAUGUGUCCCAUCUAUUUCCCUACCACAGUCUCAGCAUUCUCUGCUUCAGAUUCCUCCAUUCCUCAGGCACCACCCUGAUUCAUAAUCUCAGGAAAGGAGAUAAUAAUGAUCUUGCAGACCUGCAUGAUGACUGACUUUGCUGUGGAUUUUCCAGCCCAAUUGAUUGCCCACCUUCUGGAGGCUAAUUAUAAAUCAGUCACAAUCGGAUAUCUCUGCAGAAGUGGCCAGCAUGAGGAGGAGAGAGCCUGGCUUUCUUCUGUCAAUUCAAUAAAGAAUGACCAUACUUUCUCACCAG
ensembl:lncRNA